UACGUAGGGUGCAAGCGUUGUCCGGAAUUAUUGGGCGUAAAGAGCUCGUAGGCGGUCUGUCGCGUCUGCUGUGAAAACUCAGGGCUUAACCCUGAGCUUGCAGUGGGUACGGGCAGACUAGAGGUGCGGUAGGGGAGACUGGAAUUCCUGGUGUAGCGGUGAAAUGCGCAGAUAUCAGGAGGGAACACCCGGUGGCGGAAGGCGGGUCUCUGGGCC
rnacentral:rRNA from 1 species